rnacentral:misc_RNA from 1 species
UCAAAGGACUGUCUCGGUUCUGGCGCACACGUGAUGACAUCAGACAUGUCGCAGGACGCGGCAGCGUCACCGUUGCCGCCACCACGGACCGCAUUUUGGAAGAAGGCGGUCAUGGGUGUCUCCGUGGUGCUCCUCGUAGGCGUCGCCUGGAGGGCUGUGUACGUGAGCAACCAGAACGAAAUGAAAAUCCGCCGCGCAGUGCACAAGUCACAGAACAUCCGCGCAGCCCUGAGCGACGUUCCGGCACGGCGAUUCUCUACCAUCGAUGUGCGCCCGUCCGCCACGCAGAGGAGCGAUCUCGGCGAGCGGUACGGCUAAGCGGUGGUCCCUCACGUCGGCAAAGAGGCGCGAGCUGCUGGUGUGCUUAUUCAUGCAUGAUUCAUACGCAUGCAAGUGGGCAACCGGCUAGCUUGCGCCUCUUCUCCUUUUCGUCCCCUCUCCCGUUUUCCCGUGUGCUUGCCCUUCGCGUCCUCUUCAUGACGUACACUGUUGCCGUCGAAGUAACUCCUGGUUGAAAAGAGACUUUCACAUUGGUUGCUGCACGAGAACAUAAAACAAGACAGCACGCGAGAAGAGAAGACCAAAGAACGUCAUGCGGCGUAAAAAGUUAGGACGGCAGUGUCGGCAUCCUCACUCGUGCCGAGCACAGCCUCGAGCUUGCAUGGUUAUUUUGUGUGUUGCGGCAACGGAAGCGGAUUUAGCCACCGUCUCCAUGCUCAGCCGGGCAUACGGAGGAUGACAUAUUGGCAAGCAAUGCUGAUGCGCUUUCUGCUUCUCUACGCAUUCCUCCUACUGUUCCCCAUAUGUGUUUGCGUAUACAUGUAUGCAUAUGUAUAUCUCUCUCCACCUCUGUGACCCCACGCGCACAUAUUCACCCGCCACCGUCGCCAUGUGGCCACAUCCGUCGUUCCUUCCUCGUUGUCUCGAUCUCCCACAACGCCUUCAACCCUGUGCAG